AGUAUUUAAGGGACGUCCGUUGUUCUCUUCGGUCUCAUUUUUCCGUGGUCUUGAUUUGGGGACGUGGUUGCAUUCGGAGGAAUGGAAGUGUGCUCUCGUUUUAAGAAUAUGGUUAAUCUCAACGGAUUUUACACUUUGGAGCCAGGCUAGGCUACUCUUGCAAAUAGGACAUUUUGCUGGUAAUCAAGCAUCCUGUAACUCAAUUCUGAGGAACUCAAACUACAUCCCAGGAUGAAUACAGGUUGUCCUGAUGAUUUGUCUAAAGGAGGUGUGUAUUCCUGUAUACCACGAAUCUCCAGCAUUCAGAGGUUCUGUGAGCAGUAGCAUACCUGUUGGUCCAGAGAUUUGGUAUCUUGCCUAAAGACAAGGAACCAUGCCAGGGAAAUAAAACCUGUCUUCACUCAAGGCCAGGCUGGAAUGAGGUCUGAGGAAAAGAAUGAGGAGCAUGUGAAUGGAAUCCAAAUCUUCAAGAAUGUAAAGACAUCUCUGCUUCCUCUAUGUACAAUUUUGACAAUUUGAAGUUGUGUGUCUUCAUUUUAAUUAAAUUCUUUAGAAUUUGU